rnacentral:rRNA from 1 species
UGCGAAGUCGCAAGACGAUGUAUAUGGACUGACGCCUGCCCGGUGCUGGAACGUUAAGAGGACCGGUUAACCCUUCGGGGUGAAGCUGAGAAUUUAAGCGCCAGUAAACGGCGGUGGUAACUAUAACCAUCCUAAGGUAGCGAAAUUCCUUGUCGGGUAAGUUCCGACCUGCACGAAUGGCGUAACGACUUUCCGGCUGUCUCAACCACAGGCCCGGCGAAAUUGCACUACGAGUAAAGAUGCUCGUUACGCGCGGCAGGACGGAAAGACCCCGGGACCUUUACUAUAGUUUGGUAUUGGUUUUCGGUUCGGCUUGUGUAGGAUAGGUGGGAGACUGUGAAGCUGGCACGCUAGUGUUGGUGGAGUCGUUGUUGAAAUACCACUCUGGUCGGAUUGGGAAUCUGAACCUCGGACCAUGAUCUGGUUCAGGGACAGUGCCUGAUGGGUAGUUUAACUGGGGCGGUUGCCUCCUAAAGAGUAACGGAGGCGCCCAAAGGUUCCCUCAGCCUGGUUGGCAAUCAGGUGUUGAGUGCAAGUGCACAAGGGAGCUUGACUGUGAGACAGACAUGUCGAGCAGGGACGAAAGUCGGGACUAGUGAUCCGGCACCACCUGGUGGAAGGGGUGUCGCUCAACGGAUAAAAGGUACCCCGGGGAUAACAGGCUGAUCUUGCCCAAGAGUCCAUAUCGACGGCAUGGUUUGGCACCUCGAUGUCGGCUCGUCGCAUCCUGGGGCCGGAGUAGGUCCCAAGGGUUGGGCUGUUCGCCCAUUAAAGCGGCACGCGAGCUGGGUUUAGAACGUCGUGAGACAGUUCGGUCCCUAUCCGCCGCGCGCGUAGGAUACUUGAGGAAGGCUGUCCCUAGUACGAGAGGACCGGGACGGACGAACCUCUGGUAUGCCAGUUGUCACGCCAGUGGCAUGGCUGG